rnacentral:pre_miRNA from 1 species
GUGGAUGUGUCAGGUCGGCAGUGCACCGCUAGCUGGCUGUCGGGAUGCGGGUCACAGCCGCUGGCUGCACUCCCCUCUGUGGCGUCCGGA